rnacentral:rRNA from 1 species
GACGAACGCUGGCGGCGUGCUUAACACAUGCAAGUCGAGCGGUAAGGCCCUUUCGGGGGUACACGAGCGGCGAACGGGUGAGUAACACGUGGGUGACCUGCCCUCAGCUCUGGGAUAAGCCUGGGAAACUGGGUCUAAUACUGGAUAUGACUCCACGGUGCAUGUCGUGGGGUGGAAAGCCUUGUGCGGCUGAGGAUGGGCCCGCGGCCUAUCGAGCUUGUUAGGUGGGGUGANGGCCUACCAAGGCGACGACGGUAGCCGGCCUGAGAGGGCGACCGGCCACACGUGGACUGAGACACGGCCCAGACUCCGUACGGGAGGCA